rnacentral:rRNA from 1 species
CGGCGGACGGGAGAGUAACGCGUGGGUAACCUGCCUCAUACAGGGGGAUAACAGUUGGAAACGGCUGCUAAUACCGCAUAAGCGCACAGUACCGCAUGGUACGGUGUGAAAAACUCCGGUGGUAUGAGAUGGACCCGCGUCUGAUUAGGUAGUUGGUGGGGUAACGGCCUACCAAGCCGACGAUCAGUAGCCGACCUGAGAGGGUGACCGGCCACAUUGGGACUGAGACACGGCCCAA